CGGCGGACGGGUGAGUAACACGUGGAUAACCUACCUAUAAGACUGGGAUAACUUCGGGAAACCGGAGCUAAUACCGGAUAAUAUUUUGAACCGCAUGGUUCAAAAGUGAAAGACGGUCUUGCUGUCACUUAUAGAUGGAUCCGCGCUGCAUUGCUGUUGGUAAGGUAACGGCUUACCAAGGCAACGAUGCAUAGCCGACCUGAGAGGGUGAUCGGCCACACUGGAACUGAGACACGGUCCAG
rnacentral:rRNA from 1 species